rnacentral:rRNA from 1 species
AUUGAACGCUGGCGGCAUGCCUUACACAUGCAAGUCGAACGGCAGCGCGGACUUCGGUCUGGCGGCGAGUGGCGAACGGGUGAGUAAUACAUCGGAACGUACCCUGUUGUGGGGGAUAACUAGUCGAAAGAUUAGCUAAUACCGCAUACGACCUGAGGGUGAAAGUGGGGGACCGCAAGGCCUCACGCAGCAGGAGCGGCCGAUGUCUGAUUAGCUAGUUGGUGGGGUAAAGGCCCACCAAGGCGACGAUCAGUAGCUGGUCUGAGAGGACGAUCGGCCACACUGGGACUGAGACACGGCCCAGACUCCUACGGGAGGCAGCAGUGGGGAAUUUUGGACAAUGGGGGCAACCCUGAUCCAGCAAUGCCGCGUGUGUGAAGAAGGCCUUCGGGUUGUAAAGCACUUUUGUCCGGAAAGAAAUCGCGUUGGUUAAUACCUGGCGUGGAUGACGGUACCGGAAGAAUAAGCACCGGCUAACUACGUGCCAGCCGCCGCAGUAA